rnacentral:rRNA from 2 species
GAUGAACGCUGGCGGCGCGCCUAACACAUGCAAGUCGAACGGUUAAAGCACCUUUUAGGUGUGUAUAAAGUGGCGAACGGCUGAGUAACACGUGGGCAACCUGCCCUCCUCUUGGGGAUAGCCUCGGGAAACCGAGGAUAAUACCCGAUACUUCAAUGUGGCCGCAUGACGACAUUGAGAAAGCUUUUGCGGAGAAGGAUGGGCCCGCGGCCUGUUAGCUUGUUGGUGGGGUAGAGGCCUACCAAGGCGAUGAUGGGUAGCUGGGUUGAGAGACCGACCAGCCAGAUUGGGACUGAGACACGGCCCAGACUCCUACGGGAGGCAGCAGUGGGGAAUCUUGCACAAUGGGCGAAAGCCUGAUGCAGCGACGCCGCGUGCGGGACGAAGGCCUUCGGGUUGUAAACCGCUUUCAGCAGGGACGAGGCGAAAGUGACGGUACCUGCAGAAGA